GAGGGUAACAGCUCAGUGGUAAGCGCGUGCUUAGCAUGCAUGAGACCCUGGGUUCUAUCCCCGGUACCUCCA
rnacentral:tRNA from 1 species